GUUGUUCGGAUUUACUGGGCGUAAAGCGCGUGUAGGCGGCUUGGCAAGUCGGAUGUGAAAGCCCACGGCUCAACCGUGGAAGCGCAUCCGAAACUGCUUCGCUCGAGUCUCGGAGAGGAAGGUGGAAUGCUUGGUGUAGAGGUGAAAUUCGUAGAUAUCAAGCAGAACACCUGCGGCGAAGGCGGCCUUCUGGACGAUGACUGACGCUGAGACGCGAAAGCGUGGGGAGCAAACAGG
rnacentral:rRNA from 1 species